UAAAUUGUUAAAGGGGAGUAGCUACCUUACUUUUAGUAAGGAGAUAAAAUCAACAUCUUGAUCAAUUGAUCUGGUUUUAUCAUAACUAUAUUUUAUCUAGUUA
rnacentral:sRNA from 2 species